UGGGGAAUAUUGCACAAUGGGCGCAAGCCUGAUGCAGCCAUGCCGCGUGUAUGAAGAAGGCCUUCGGGUUGUAAAGUACUUACAGCGGGGAGGAAGGGAGUAAAGUUAAUACCUUUGCUCAUUGACGUUACCCGCAGAAGAAGCACCGGCUAACUCCGUGCCAGCAGCCGCGGUAAUACGGAGGGUGCAAGCGUUAAUCGGAAUUACUGGGCGUAAAGCGCACGCAGGCGGUUUGUUAAGUCAGAUGUGAAAUCCCCGGGCUCAACCUGGGAACUGCAUCUGAUACUGGCAAGCUUGAGUCUCGUAGAGGGGGGUAGAAUUCCAGGUGUAGCGGUGAAAUGCGUAGAGAUCUGGAGGAAUACCGGUGGCGAAGGCGGCCCCCUGGACGAAGACUGACGCUCAGGUGCGAAAGCGUGGGGAGCAAACAGG
rnacentral:rRNA from 1 species